UAUGUCCCUCCCUAUCUCAGAAGAACUGUAUGUCUGAUGAUGGAUUGAUUGGAGGUUCCUAGUGUCUUCUCGUCCUCUUCUGUAAAAUUGAUCUCUUCUCAUAUAGGUGGUUUUCGACUCCAUGUGGUACUGCUGUCUAUGAUUCCUAGAAGCCACAUUACGUGAAGACUUGUAGCUGUGCUUACUAUCCUCCACAUAGUACAGCUACCUACGGUCCCCAUAGAAUCUUGAAUCUCUACCCUACGCAAUGGACCAUUUUGCCUCCUCCUCAUAAAGUUUUCCCUUACACUUUCCCUGAUAUUAGCGUAUGCUACUCUCCACCUCUUUCUCCCCUGCACCAU
rnacentral:lncRNA from 1 species